rnacentral:misc_RNA from 1 species
CAAGAGUAGCUGGCUUAGCUUCAUUGCCAUUUAAAGGUAAUCUUGCCUUAUUAGCUUAAGCAAAGUCAUGUAAAGAAGAUGUGCAAAUGCUGAGGAAAAAAGGGAUGUCUCCCCACAUGGGGUCUUAAAACUGCAACAAGUGCAGACCCAACUUUAAAUUUUGUCACCUAAUAUUGGGAGUAAAUCGGCCUAAGCACAAAUGAUCUU